rnacentral:lncRNA from 1 species
UACUUGAUACCAACGUGCUAUUUACAUGUGCGAUCGAAAAUGCAGGGGAAGGAAACUUGUCAAUUGUGUUUAUUUUUAAUCCAAAAUAAAAUAAGCCGCCGUAAAAUUAACCUUGGGUAAAUUCCUCAAAUUGAUGCAAGAGGCUUCUUUUUUUAAGCUAUAUUUUUAAUGACUUACACUUUUUACCAUUAUUCUCUUUCUUUCACUAUUCUUUAUUCCUUUUUUUCUUUGCCCGUUAUUC